rnacentral:rRNA from 1 species
CCUACGGGGGGCAGCAGUGGGGAAUAUUGCACAAUGGGCGCAAGCCUGAUGCAGCAACGCCGCGUGAGGGAUGACGGCCUUCGGGUUGUAAACCUCUUUUAGUAGGGAAGAAGCGAAAGUGACGGUACCUGCAGAAAAAGCACCGGCUAACUACGUGCCAGCAGCCGCGGUAAUACGUAGGGUGCAAGCGUUGUCCGGAAUUAUUGGGCGUAAAGAGCUCGUAGGCGGCUUGUCGCGUCUGCUGUGAAAACCCGGGGCUCAACCCCGGGCCUGCAGUGGGUACGGGCAGGCUAGAGUGCGGUAGGGGAGAUUGGAAUUCCUGGUGUAGCGGUGGAAUGCGCAGAUAUCAGGAGGAACACCGAUGGCGAAGGCAGAUCUCUGGGCCGCUACUGACGCUGAGGAGCGAAAGCAUGGGGAGCGAACAGGAUUAGAUACCCUUGUAGUC